AAUAGGAAUAACCAAACUACGU
rnacentral:snRNA from 1 species